UAUAGAUGAUGUCUUCAUGAUGC
rnacentral:miRNA from 1 species